AACACUUUUGGAGGACUGGGUGAAGUUCAGGAUCCUGAAGCCCUACUUUUGGUUGCCCAGUGUUCCUUCUAACAGUAAGGCCCCUCUGCUGCAGGACUGCUGGAUGUCCACUUCAGACACUGCUUUCCUGGGAAUCACCUGUGGGGCUACAGAACAGGGGAGAGCUGAAUGUAGGCUCCAGCUGGAAAAUGGCAUUGAAGCCUGAUUGCUUGUUACUACUCAGAAUGCCAUCUACAUACACACACACACACACACACACACAAAGCAAUAAAGAAUCCCUUUCUGUUCUUGCAAGAGUCAGUGUUUUAAAACUCUCUAUGAUGUCAUCUAUAUGGG
rnacentral:lncRNA from 13 species